GGCCGGUUAGCUCAGCUGGUUAGAGCGUGGUGCUAAUAACGCCAAGAUCGUGGGUUCGAUCCCUGUACUGGCCA
rnacentral:tRNA from 1 species